rnacentral:rRNA from 1 species
CCUACGGGGGGCAGCAGUGGGGAAUAUUGCGCAAUGGGCGAAAGCCUGACGCAGCGACGCCGCGUGAGGGAUGAAGGUCUUCGGAUCGUAAACCUCUGUCAGCAGGGAAGAACGGUCACUGUGCUAAUCAGCAGUGAAUUGACGGUACCUGCAAAGGCAGCACCGGCUAACUCCGUGCCAGCAGCCGCGGUAAUACGGAGGGUGCGAGCGUUAAUCGGAAUUACUGGGCGUAAAGCGCUCGUAGGCGGUAUGUCAAGUCAAGGGUGAAAUCCCCGCGCUCAACGUGGGAACUGCCUUUGAAAAUGGCAAACUGGAGUGUGUGAGAGGAUAGUGGAAUUCCAGGUGUAGGAGUGAAAUCCGUAGAUAUCUGGAGGAACAUCAGUGGCGAAGGCGACUAUCUGGAACAUAACUGACGCUGAGGAGCGAAAGCGUGGGUAGCAAACAGGAUUAGAUACCCCAGUAGUC